rnacentral:rRNA from 1 species
UACGGUAGGGUGCAAGCGUUAAUCGGAAUUACUGGGCGUAAAGCGUGCGCAGGCGGUUAUGUAAGACAGUUGUGAAAUCCCCGGGCUCAACCUGGGAAUUGCAUCUGUGACUGCAUAGCUAGAGUACGGUAGAGGGGGAUGGAAUUCCGCGUGUAGCAGUGAAAUGCGUAGAUAUGCGGGAGGAACACCGAUGGCGAAGGCAAUCCCCUGGACCCUGGUACUGACGCUCAUGCACGAAAGCGUGGGGAGCAAACAGG